UACGAAGGGGGCUAGCGUUGCUCGGAAUUACUGGGCGUAAAGCGUGCGCAGGCGGUUUUGUAAGACAGGCGUGAAAUCCCCGGGCUCAACCUGGGAAUUGCGCUUGUGACUGCAAAGCUGGAGUGCGGCAGAGGGGGAUGGAAUUCCGCGUGUAGCAGUGAAAUGCGUAGAUAUGCGGAGGAACACCGAUGGCGAAGGCAAUCCCCUGGGCCUGCACUGACGCUCAUGCACGAAAGCGUGGGGAGCAAACAGG
rnacentral:rRNA from 1 species